ACUGGUAACUUGUUUGCCACGUAGCAAUAAAAAAAUAUACGAAAAACCUUGAUUAUUCUGGUUAGUCACAUUGUACUGCUAUUAUUUUGAACAAUACUGUAAAUAACAGCCAGUUUGAAGGUUUUGGGGACAUAUCCUAAUGACAAUGAGGAAUUAAUAAUAGUCAGAAGAGGAUCUAUGACUUCUGGAAGCACCUCUUUUAGGAGCUUAGAUGGUAUAGGGUCUAACAUACAUGUUGUUGGUUGAUUUAACAAGUUUAUACAAUUCUUCCUCUCCUAUAGUAGAGAAUGAGUGGAACUGUUCCUCAGGGGGUCUAUAGUUUACUUUCUGAUGUGAUACUGUAGCUGACGGCUGAAUGGUUGCAAUUUUAUCUCUAAUAGUAUCGAUUUUAGAAGUAAAGUAGUUCAUAAAAUCAUUACUGCUAUGGUGUUGGGAAGUGUCAAAACUUGUUGAGGCUUCAUUUUUCGUUAAUUUAGCCACUGUAUUGAAUAAAUACCUGGGGUUAUGUUUGUUUUCUUCUAAAAGAGAAGAAAAGUAAUCGGAUCUAGCAGUUUUUAAUGAUUUUCUGUAGGAUAGGUUACUUUCCCGCCAAGCAAUACGAAAUACCUCUAGUUUUGUUUUCCUCCAGCUGCGCUGCAUUUUUCGGGCUGCUCUCUUUAGGGUUUGAGUAUGCUCAUUACACCAUGGUGUCAAACUGUUUUCCUUAAGCGUAAAGGAGAAACUUUAUUUAAAGUGCUAGAAAAGAGAGAGUCCAUAGUUUCUGUUACAUCAUCAAGUUGUUCUGAGGUUUCGGAUAUGCUAAGGAAUUUGGAUACAUCAGGAAGAUAACUUAAAAAGUAGUCUUUUGUGGUAGAAGUGAUGGUUCUUCCAUACUUGUAACAAGAAGUAGAAUUUACAAUUUUGGCUAUAUGAAGUUUGCACAGAACUAAAUAAUGAUCUGAGAUAUCAUCACUUGGCUGAAUAAUUUCAACACUAUCAACUUCAAUUUCAUGUGACAGUAUUAAAUCUAGAGUAUGAUUUCGACAAUGAGUAGGUCCUGAAACGUGUUAUCUAACACCAAUAGAGUUCAGAAUGUCUAUAAAUGCUGAUCCCAAUGCAUCUUUUUCAUUAUCGACAUGGAUAUUAAAAUCACCAACUAUUAAAACUUUAUCUGCAGCCACAACUAACUCGGAUGUAAAAUCAUCAAACUCUUUAAUAAAGUCUCUAUGGUGCCCUGGUGGCCUGUAUACAGUAACCAGUACAAACAUAACAGGGGAUUUAUCAUUAACAUUUGUUUCUCUGUAUAAUGUUAUAUGAAGCACCAUUACUUCAAACGAGUUAUACUUGAAGCCUGCCCUCUGAGAAAUCCUGAAAACGUUGUUAUAAAUAGAAGCAACUCCUCCCCCUUUGCCCUUUGAGACGCCGCUUAUGUUUAUAACAGUAAUCUUGGGGGUGGACUCAUUUAAAAUAAUGUAAUCAUCAGGUUUUAGCCAGGUUUCUGUCAAACAGAGUACAUCUAUAUUAUGAUCAAUGAUCAUAUUAUUUAAAAAAAGUGUUUUCAUAGAAAGGGAUCUGAUAUUCAAUAAUCCAAGCUUUAUCACUUGUUUGUCCAUAUUGCAUCUGUUUUUUAUUUGUUGAACCUCAAUUAAAUUGUUAAUCUUAACUUGGUUUGGACGUUUUUUGUAUUUUCUAGUUCGGCGAACAGACACAGUCUUUAUAGUGUGAUAUGUAGGUGAAAAAGUAUCUAUGUGUCCAUAGAGCUAUACAGUCAGUUUGUGUGUAUCCAUCAUCAUCCAUCUUGGUGUCAUCAUAUUUACGUAUGGCAUCAGUUUUUACCUCACUAUACAUCCCAGCAUCCUCCCCACUAGACCACUGCAAACUUUCUCAUCACACCUUGGAAAUUAGAAGAGAAGUUGCUUGUAGUCAAAUUAGAUUAAUGCAUUUAAGACUGUUUCAUUAUUCACAUGUCAGACAUAAUGCUAACUGUCAACUUAAUUUGUCAACUGCAUGCAAGUUAGCUGCAGAGCUUGUGGGAGAUAAUAUAUAUUUUUUAAAUAAAAGUAAUGUAAUGUUAUCAGAAUAAUAGCAAUACAACAUAAACUAAAAAUAAAUUAAUCCAGCUAACAUUAGCUAAAUACAUGAAGCAAGGUCGUGGUUUGUCACAGAGAAUUCCUGAAUAAGGCUCCAGUUACUUGCUGAAAGUAAACUAACUCUAACAACUAUGACUUCUGGAAGCACCUCUUUUAGGAGCUUAGAUGGUAUAGGGUCUAACAUACAUGUUGUUGGUUUAGAUGAUUUAACAAGUUUAUACAAUUCUUCCUCUCCUAUAGUAGAGAAUGAGUGGAACUGUUCCUCAGGGGGUCUAUAGUUUACUGUCUGAUGUGAUACUGUAGCUGACGGCUGAAUGGUUGGAAUUUUAUCUCUAAUAGUAUCGAUUUUAGAAGUAAAGUAUAAUAAUGCUAACUGUCAACUUAAUUUGUCAACGGCAUGCAAGUUAGCUGCAGAGCUGCAUAGCAAUACAACAUAAACUAAAAAUAAAUUAAUCCAGCUAACAUUAGCUAAAUACAUGAAGCAAGGUCGUGGUUUGUCACAGAGAAUUCCUGAAUAAGGCUCCAGUUACUUGCUGAAAGUAAACUAACUCUAGCAACUGUUUUCUGAUAGGUUAACAUUAACAAAUUCGAAAAAAAAAAAAAAAAAAAAUUUAUUUUACUCUGCCUGAGUAAUCAAUACAACAAGGGAAAAUUAUUCCUACCUUAGGAUCCUGGUUACGUUACUGCAGAAAUCAACAUCUAGGCAAUCUGUAAAUUCAGAGCUGUUGAUUCAAGUCACACAAUAUAUAAUUUUACUGCUCUCUGGGUGCUUGUCUUAAUUAGGCUUUUUAUUGGAUCCCGCAAAGUAGUUCAAACAUCAACCAAUCAGUGUAUUUUAUAGUUUCUUUUUACAUAGACUUGCCUUGUCGUAGGUGUUCAAAAAAAUAGAGUACUUGUAAAUGAUACAGAACGCAUGCGGAACAAAUGCCGACAAAAAGUGUAUUGCUUUCACAGCUGCCAAGAAGAAGAAAGAAAGAUUCCUCAUCGUACACGGACCAGGUGGAAAAAAAAGAAUGAUGUUUCCCACUCGCAAAGGGGACUGAAGAAUCCACCCCCACAGAUAUAGACCUCCAGGUAGACAUUUUGACAUAUUUCUGAUGGGAAGCUGUACAAAUAUCUGAAAUCAGUUAGCGAUUCUUUCUUUUCCCUGUCAUUCAAUUGUGAUGGAGUGCCUGUGUUCCAGUCAUCUAAAUUCAGCAUCUGGCCCAUACUAUGCUCUGUUAAUGAAAUAGCCACAGAGGAAAGAGAUAAAAAUAUCAUACUAUGUGCCUUGUGGUUUGGGUCAUCUAAACCACUGAUGAGUAGCUUCCUCAAACAUUUUGUGGAGGAAUGCAAAAGUCUUGGACAAAAAUGGACUUCAGUGGCAGGAUCCAGUAGAUCACUCAAUCCAAACUGCAAAGGUCUAUGCGUUAUGUGCUAUAUGUGAUGCUGUUGCACGGCCUUUACUGCACAAUUUCAGUUAAUAACAGUUUAAUGGAGAGUAUGGGUGUGGGCAUUGUCUUCAUCUAGUUGUUCAACUGUGCAAAUAGGUGAGAUUGCCAAAAAAUAAAUAAACAGAGCAUUUUGGGUAUAAAAGGGCCUUCUCCAAUUGUGGACUUGCCCCAUUUUUACCUGAUUAAUGGCAUGGUCAUUGUGUGUUACUGGGGGUUUGUCUGCAAAUAGCCACUUUAUGGUUUGAUUCCAAAAGCUACUGUCAGGACCUACUCCCUGUCGGCCAGCACCCCCACUUCCACCCUUGAGGAGCUACCCCGCACCGGAGAAGGCAGACCACCAGAAUUCAAAGUUAACACAUUUAUUAAUUUAUUUAAAAGAUGUCUCUAAAAGCAGUAUGAGCUUCCUCCCUCCAGGUUGAGUGACUGCAUGUGUAGCUCUAGUUCCCCUCCUCCACUACCAACACAGUAAGGUGAAUACAGCCCGAGCGGCUACAGCGCCAGAUGGCGAAGGCUUGAUGGUAACUCCGUUCUUCGAGUCCUCAGGCUGGAUAUCAUCAGCGACUAUCUCCAUUCAGUGGGGUUUCAGCACCAUUUCAGUGACUCUGCAGGGCUUCACACAGAUUCAAUAUGAAUGGUUCAGUCAAUGGACUCAAUUCCAUAUGUCACGGGUCCUACAAUGGUAGCAGAUCCACAACAGCAGAUAACUCACUUCAGUAACUCUGCAGGCUUUUCACUAAACUCAUACAGAGAGCGAGGGAUACAUAUAUGUUACAGUUUAAGAGGCUCUUCACUGAGCUCAGACAGAGAGAAGGGAGGUAAUUAUACCUCAACGCUUCAGCAGGUUCUUCGCUGGACUCAGAUCGAGGAUACAGACAGGCAAAUACACUUCACAGAUUUAACAGGCUCUUCACUGGACUCAGACAGAGAGAAAGUGAGUUACAUAUAUUUCACAGUGUUAACAGGCUCCUUAACUUCACAGCUUUAACAGGCUCUUCACUGGAUUCAGACAGAGAGAAGGGAGAUAAUUAUACUUCACCACUUCCGCAGGUUCUUCAUUCACAGCUUUAGCUGGUUCUUCAACUGGGCUCAGACAGAGAGUGGAGGGUACAUAUUCUUCACCGCUUAAGCGGAUUCUUCAUUCACAUCUUUAGUUAGGGAUUAUAGGUUGGUCGCCUGUACACUCUGCAACAUCCCACACUCGUGUAUACUCUACAACACACUCAAUUCACACGUGAUAAUUGAAAAUCAGCACAGCAUGCACGAACCUCAAAUCCUUAAGGUAGAGUGCGGGCCCAUACGACAAUCUCAACCAAUGAACUCUCAGUAUACUGAUACAAAACAGGACUCUCACUACUGCGUCAUUUCCAAACAUCCAUCUCCAGUUCCUUCCUCGCUGUGUCACUACUGCAUCUUCACCAUCCCUUCCUCUCUCCUUCCUCCAUCUUCACCGACCCUUCCUCUCUCCUUCCUCCAUCUUCACCGAUCCUUCCUCCCUUCCUCCUGCGUCUUCCCCGAUGCUUCCUCUUUGCCCUCUUCUCUCAAACGCCAACUCUUUUUAUUUCCCUCCCAAUCCAAUUACCUGCUUACGCAUUUUCCCCCUCACAGCUGCCAGCGUUUAUCCUCAUUAUCUUCUAUUCCAGCAUAUUUUUUCCUGCUCCCAUGUAUCCCCGGAACCGGCCUUGUGUUGCUCUGGAAGUGCUCCCUGCCACAACAACCUCAGCCUAUAGUUCCGGCCUUCGUCACCCCGUGACACUACAGUCAACCAUUGGCUUGAACACUGAAAAAGUGGAUGGAAAUCUUUUAUCAAUCAAGCCUCCAAGCAUUUUUUUUUUCCAGAAUCCCAUGGUAUAUUCCUGAGAGAAGGUUUUGGAAAGCUAAUGAAUGGCAGAACUGGCUUUUAUAUUACAGUUUGCCAGUCCUGAAGGGGAUAAUUCCAAACAUGUAUCUUUGCCACUGGGCUUUACUUGUGGAGGGUGUGAGCAUUUUGCUAGGCUCAGACAUUAGCCAAGAGAAUACUGACCAUGCUCAUCAGGCUGUUGAGCUUUAUGUAACAUCAGUUCAGAUGACCUACAAUGUGCAUUCACUCCUGCAUUUGACUAAGAGUGUUGAGAAUUUGGGUCCUCUCUGGGCCCAGUCUGCUUUAAUUUUUGAGAACUAUAAUGGCUACUUGCAAGUAAGUAAAAAGCAGUAAUGCAGUCCCUCAGAGCUUUGCAAAAGGGUAGUUUGGUCUCGUGCAUUGUCACGAAUAGGUAAGGCCCGCUUAUCUAAUGAUAAUAAUAAUAAUAAUAAUGAAUUUUAUUUAUAAUGCACUUUACAUUUAAAAAUAAUAAAUACUUUAAUAAUAAAUCAAGGCAAUGUAUACAUAAACAUAUUAUUGUAAAUAAAUGAAGUUGAGUCAAAUCUGUUUGUAGAACAGUAAUCUAAAAUGUUAACAAUUGAGGGGUUAAAAAUGGGCUGGAAUAUAUUUGACAGAAAGUCAUUUUUGUAAAUGUGACAAACUGUUGGUGGCAAUAUGCAUAAGUAGAAAUUUUGGAAAGUUUUAUGUUAAACAAAACAUUUGAAUACAGUAAACUUAGUACUGUAAUAAAGUUGUGAUAAACAUUGUCUUAAAUGAAAAUGAAAUCUGGUGAUGUAGGUGCAACCCUUGAUAUUUUUAUACUGUUUUACUUAGUCACGUUUCUUUAAAACCUGAUACUGCCCCUUUAAGAGAUUGGGUAGUUCGUAUGGGGAGACAGUGCACAGCAGUAGCGCACAGAGUGAUUGUGCAUGAAGCACAGACAAAAUGCAUAGCGAGUGAGUAAUUUAGACUAUGCUGAUUACGAUAAGCAUUUAUAUUGCGAAUUGUCUUUUGAAUAGCUGAUUUAUUGUUUAUGUCAGUUGGGAGGUUGAAUUUGAAACACUGUGGAAGAGAAGUUGAAGACAUUGUUUUCAGUGACUGUUUUCUGAGACAUUCUGGUGAGUGUAUUCCGUUUGUAACUAAAUAUUUUGUUGUCAUGUUGUGUUUUAUUUGAGCAAAACCAGUCAGAAUGUAUUCAUGUCAAAGAAAAUGUGGUUAAAUCGUUCAUGUGGGAGUGAAGAUUAGAGCACCUAAGCAUAGCACCAUAAUGCUAGUUUUGCUAAUCAAGGAGAGCACGAGGUGUGCAAUGCUUGAAUUUUUUUCACAUGUUGAGUGAACUUGCGAAUGUAUAAACCUGUAACUUUUAAACUGAUUUAGGUAAAAGUGUAUUGUUAGCUCUCAAAUUGGAAAAAGGAAAAGAUUCAAAGCAAAGGUUUAUUUCGUAACCUUUAUUUCAUAGGUGUAGGAAAAUGAUUAUAUGAGAAAUCAUAAAGAUUAGGAAUCAUCUAUUUGUUCUGAUAUUGUUGAUGUAAUCAAUUUGAAAUGUACAUUUGUGCAGACUGUUUUUUUUCCCUAUUGGACUGUUGUUCGCUGAUACAAUUGGACCUGAAUCUUCUGAGUGGAUUCCUUUGGAACAAAUUCUCUUCGUCAUCACGUCGUACUCAAUCAACUCCUCUGCUCUUCAUCAUCUCGUCAUACUCCAUCAACUCAUCUGCUCUCCUUUCCUUCGUACUUGAUUAACUAAAUAGUAUUCCUGGUGAAGUGGUAGGACUGAGAAAUUUUUUCUUAUUUUUUACACGCAUCACACAGGACUGAGAUUUUUUUGUUGUUGUUUACAUACUACAUUGGGACUGAGACUCUUUUUUUCCCUUUCAAAACUUGAAUUUUCAAAAUCAGUUUCCUUGGGUUACAAUUAUAUUGUUAUCGAGCUCAAUUAUUAUUAUUAUUUUUUUUGGAGAGUGAAUAUCAUUCAAUAUUCAUUACUUUGCUUUUAAAGUGCCAGAACAAAGAGCAUUUAAAUUGACUGCCUUACAAAAUACAAUUCUGGCUAACUCGAA